AACGGCCGUACCAUGCUGAAUAUACCGGUUCUCGUUAGAUCACCGAAGUCAAGCAUCAUUGGGCGCGGUCAGUACUUGGGUGGGUGACCACCUGGGAACACUGCGUGCCGUU